CCUACGGGAGGCAGCAGUGGGGAAUAUUGCACAAUGGGGGAAACCCUGAUGCAGCGACGCCGCGUGAGUGAAGAAGUAUUUCGGUACGUAAAGCUCUAUCAGCAGGGAAGAAAAUGACGGUACCUGACUAAGAAGCCCCGACUAACUACGUGCCAGCAGCCGCGGUAAUACGUAGGGGGCAAGCGUUAUCCGGAUUUACUGGGUGUAAAGGGAGCGUAGACGGCAGCGCAAGUCUGGAGUGAAAUCCCAUGGCUUAACCAGGGAACUGCUUUGGAAACUGUGCAGCUAGAGUGCAGGAGAGGUAAGCGGAAUUCCUAGUGUAGCGGUGAAAUGCGUAGAUAUUAGGAGGAACACCAGUGGCGAAGGCGGCUUACUGGACUGUAACUGACGUUGAGGCUCGAAAGCGUGGGGAGCAAACAGGAUUAGAUACCCGUGUAGUC
rnacentral:rRNA from 1 species